UUGAUCCUGCCGGACCCGACUGCUAUCAGAGUGGGACUAAGCCAUGCGAGUCAACGUAGCAAUGCGUGGCGAACGGCUCAGUAACACGUAGUCAACAUGCCCAGGGGACGUGGAUAACCUCGGGAAACUGAGAUUAAACCGCGAUAGGUCAAGAUUUCUGGAAUGGAUCGUGUCUUAAAUCUACAUGGCCCCUGGAUUGGACUGCGGCCGAUCAGGCUGUUGGUGAGGUAAUGGCCCACCAAACCUAUAACCGGUACGGGCUCUGAGAGGAGAAGCCCGGAGAUGGGCACUGAGACAAGGGCCCAGGCCCUAUGGGGCGCAGCAGGCGCGAAACCUCUGCAAUGGGCGAAAGCCUGACAGGGUUACUCUGAGUGAUUUCCGCUAAGGAGAUCUUUUGGCAGCUCUAAAAAUGGUGCAGAAUAAGGGGUGGGCAAGUCUGGUGUCAGCCGCCGCGGUAAUACCAGCACCCCGAGUGGUCGGGACGAUUAUUGGGCCUAAAGCAUCCGUAGCCGGUUGUGCAAGUCCUCCGUUAAAUCCAGCCGCUCAACGGAUGGGCUGCGGAGGAUACUACAGGACUAGGAGGCGGGAGAGGCAAGCGGUACUUAGUGGGUAGGGGUAAAAUCCUUUGAUCCAUUGAAGACCACCAGUGGCGAAGGCGGCUUGCCAGAACGCGCUCGACGGUGAGGGAUGAAAGCUGGGGGAGCAAACCGGAUUAGAUACCCGGGUAGUCCCAGCUGUAAACGAUGCAGACUCGGUGAUGGGCUAGCCUCGUGUCAGCCCAGUGCCGCAGGGAAGCCGUUAAGUCUGCCGCCUGGGGAGUACGGUCGCAAGACUGAAACUUAAAGGAAUUGGCGGGGGAGCACCACAAGGGGUGAAGCCUGCGGUUUCAUUGGACUNCACGCCGGGGACUCUAGAGGAUCCCC
rnacentral:rRNA from 1 species